rnacentral:rRNA from 1 species
AUGAACGCUGGCGGCGUGCCUAAUACAUGCCAGUCGAGCGAACGGACGAGAAGCUUGCUUCUAUGAUGUUAGCGGCGGACGGGUGAGUAACACGUGGAUAACCUACCUAUAAGACUGGGAUAACUUCGGGAAACCGUAGCUAAUACCGGAUAAUAUUUUGAACCGCAUGGUUCAAAAGUGAGAGACGGUCUUGCUGUCACUUAUAGAUGGAUCCGCGCUGCAUUAGCUAGUUGGUAAGGUAACGGCUUACCAAGGCAACGAUGCAUAGCCGACCUGAGAGGGUGAUCGGCCACACUGGAACUGAGACACGGUCCAGACUCCUACGGGAGGCAGCAGUAGGGAAUCUUCCGCAAUGGGCGAAAGCCUGACGGAGCAACGCCGCGUGAGUGAUGAAGGUCUUCGGAUCGUAAAACUCUGUUAUUAGGGAAGAACAUAUGUGUAAGUAACUGUGCACAUCUUGACGGUACCUAAUCAGAAAGCCACGGCUAACUACGUG